GUGAAAAUAAGAAACUUAUCGAACAAACCUGUGUGGGAAACAGGAACUGCCGAGGGCAGUAA
ncrna:unclassified sequences RAGATH-30 RNA